rfam:Saccharomyces arboricola H-6 chromosome XIV, whole genome shotgun sequence.
AUAAUUUAUCAAAUGAUGAAAUACCAAUGCAACAGAGUCAAGCUCUGAGUUUCAAAAAGAAACAUGGACGAGAUUGCUAUUUAUUACUGACCAUAAUUAU